rnacentral:rRNA from 1 species
UACGUAGGUGGCAAGCGUUGUCCGGAUUUACUGGGUGUAUAGGGCGUGCAGCCGGGCUGACAAGUCAGAUGUGAAAUCCGGGGGCUCAACCCCCGAACUGCAUUUGAAACUGUUGGUCUUGAGUAUCGGAGAGGCAGGCGGAAUUCCUAGUGUAGCGGUGAAAUGCGUAGAUAUUAGGAGGAACACCAGUGGCGAAGGCGGCCUGCUGGACGACAACUGACGGUGAGGCGCGAAAGCGUGGGGAGCAAACAGG